rnacentral:rRNA from 1 species
AUUGAACGCUGGCGGCAGGCCUAACACAUGCAAGUAGAACGAGUGGCGGACGGGUGAGUAAUGUCUGGGAAACUGCACGCUGGAGGGGGAUAACUACUGGAAACGGUAGCUAAUACCGCAUACCAUCGGAUGUGCCCAGAUGGGAUUAGCUAGUGGGUGGGGUAACGGCUCACCUAGGCGACGAUCCCUAGCUGGUCUGAGAGGAUGACCAGCCACACUGGAACUGAGACACUGUCCAGACUCCUACGGUAGGCAGCAGUGGGGAAUAGUGCACAAUGGGCGCAAGCCUGAUGCAUCCAGGCCGAGUGUAUGAAGAAGGCCUUCGGGUUGUAAAGUACGUUCAGCGGGGAGGCGUUACCCGCAGAAGAAGCACCGGCUAACUCCGUGCCAGCCGCCGCGGUAAUAC